AUGGGGCUACUGAUGGACGCCUACAGGCUACAAGGAGACGCACCACUGGUCGAGACUCGAGACCACCGCGUCGCUGCUACCCAUGGAGGACCUCCUCGCUGGGAGCGGCGCGACCUGAUACACGCGGCCGAGCGACAGCCGCGCCAUGCUGCUGUCGCGCACGCGGCCUACUUCCGACCGGAUCUCGAGCCCUCCGGUGAGAAUAGACUUGACGGCGUCGGAGAUGGAAGCGGCGCCACUCGAUGCGCGCGGCGGGCGACCGCCGCCGUGCUUGCGGCCGCGCACGCAGCCUAUUCCGAGCGGCUCGGCGGGGUGAGCUACGGUGCCCUGCGGUCUGGUGCGGCAGUGGACGCAGGGAAGGUGUUUGUGAAAAUUUCAGAGAGGAGCAAGAGGGAGGUGUAUUUGCCACAUAAGCGUGUAGGCCCAUGUGGUCAGUGA
rnacentral:rRNA from 1 species